ensembl:ncRNA W06B3.4 ncRNA
AAGAUCUGGACGGAAGGCAGUCAGGCGGAAUUGGAUUUCAAACGAACACCAUAACAUGUCCUAGGAAGUUCAGUGGGAGGACGGACGAUAUGGGUCAGUGAGUGAACGCGCAUCGCACAAAUUUAAAAGAGGUAAA